CGGAACUGCAUCACAAUGCCGCUGCUUCCUGGGUAACAAUUUACAUCGCGCCUUGUUAACAGCAAAAUGUUGUUCUGUCAUACAUGAUGAAAACAAAUACUUCUAUGAUGUCCAUGUAUGUGUCUGUAUACUUCAGCGAAGAAAAAAACGUCCCUUACAUCUGGAAAUACUUCCGAUGUCAUCCAAACUGACCUAUUCCCUUUCCCACGAAAAUCCGAUAAAAACAAAUCCACUGAAUGCAUGAACGAAAGGAAGAUUAGCUACACGAGGACCAAACGCAUUUGAUAUGUCACGUACAGGAAGCAAGCCGAACAUGGACAA
rnacentral:lncRNA from 1 species